UACGUAGGGACCGAGCGUUGUCCGGAAUCAUUGGGCGUAAAGAGCGUGUAGGCGGCCAACUAAGUCCUGCGUGAAAUCUCGGGGCUCAACCCCGAGCGGUCGUGGGAAACUGGUUGGCUAGAGUGCGGCAGAGGAGACUGGAAUUCCGUGGUGUAGCAGUGAAAUGCGUAGAUAUCAGGAGGAAUACCGAUGGCGAAGGCGGGUUGCUGGGCCGACACUGACGCUGAGGCGCGAAAGCCAGGGGAGCGAACGGG
rnacentral:rRNA from 1 species